UCAUACUACAAAAUGACCUGAAGACGAACGAGUCAUAUGAAUGUGAACUAAACUAAUAUAUGCUCAAGAUUAUGCGACGAAAUAACUUCCCUGGCGCUUGAGGACAUUAUGGAGCGCAUAACAGCCAUGAACUUGAUGAAACCUCAAAACUUUAGAGGGGCAGUGGAACUGGGACGUUAGCAAUUUACGGAGUACUUCACCACAGACUCCGAACUUUGGGAGUUUUUUAUUCUCUAAAAAUUC
rnacentral:lncRNA from 1 species